GUAAGUGCACAUGCAGGGGGAGGAGUCAACAUCAAGUGCAGAUAUGAAGAUAAAUACAAAUACAAAAUCAAAUCUUUCUGUAAGAUCGAGACAGAUCAUAGCUGUUUAAAUCAAAUAACAACAGAACUAAACAGUGAAUGGUCACAUGAUGGCAGAUUCUCAGUUCAUGACGACAGAAGUUCAGGAUUCUUCAGUGUGUUUAUCAGAGAGCUGAUUACGGAGGACACUGGAACAUACGCGUGUGCUGUUGAUGUGUCUGAUAGAAUACAGACCAACACUGUAAUGUUCCUGGAUGUAAGAAAUUAUCUGUCCUACGAGAAGUCCAUCAGUGAGACUGUCCAUGUGGGAGGAGAUUUGAACUUCAGCUGUAAAUACCGAGAAUCCCUCAGGAGUUAUUCCAAGUUUGUCUGCAAAAUGAGGCUGCAAGAUUUUGCUUGUUCUUAUAAAAAAUCUAUUAAUGAAAGUGGAAAAUACAUAAAUGUGGGGAAAUUCUCCCUGUAUGAUGACAGAGAAAGACAAACCUUGAGUGUGAGUAUUAGAAAUGUAACUGAGCGAGACUCUGGUGAAUACUGGUGUGGAGCUGAAGCAGCCUGGGAAUCUGAUGAUGGAUACAAGGUUUAUUUCACACAGAUCAACCUGACAGUUACUGAUUCAGAUCCAGUUUCAACCUGGAAGCCAACAGAACCUUCAUCAUCAUCAUCAUCAUCAUCAUCAUCA